rnacentral:ncRNA from 1 species
GAGAGCCGGAUGCGGUGAGAGCCGCACGUCCGGUUCGGGCGGGCGGCCUGAGGAAACGGGCCGGCAGCAAUGCCGACACCGCGCCUCAGGCCGACCCCAC